GGCCCUAUACAGCUGGGUGGGUGAGAGAACCGUCUCCACCAAAGGCGACCGACGGUACGCCCGCCCUGAGGAGGGUGACCGCCCACCAUUGGGGACUGAGACCCGGCCCCAGACUUCUUACGGAAGCAGCAGUGGGGAAUAUUGCACCAAUGGGCGCAAGUUGAUGCAGCAACGCCGCGUGAGGGAUGACGUCUUCGGGUUGUAAACCUCUUUUAGCAGGGAGAAGCGAAAGUGACGGUACCUGCAGAAAAAGCGCCGGCUAACUACGUGCCAGCAGCCGCGGUAAUACGUAGGGCGAAAGCGUUGUCCGGAAUUAUUGGGCGUAAAGAGCUCGUAGGCGGUCUGUCGCGUCUGCUGUGAAAUCCCGAGGGCUCAACCUCGGGCUUGCAGUGGGUACGGGCAGACUAGAGUGCGGUAGGGGAGAAUGGAAUUCCUGGUGUAGCGGUGGAAUGCGCAGAUAUCAGGAGGAACACCGAUGGCGAAGGCAGUUCUCUGGGCCGUAACUGACGCUGAGGAGCGAAAGCGUGGGGAGCGAACAGGAUUAGAUACCCUGGUAGUCCACGCCGUAAACGUUGGGCGCUAGUUGUGGGGACCAUUCCACGGUCUCCGUGACGUAGCUAACGCAUUAAGCGCCCCGCCUGGGGAGUACGGCCGCAAGGCUAAAACUCAAAGGAAUUGACGGGGGCCCGCACAAGCGGCGGAGCAUGCGGAUUAAUUCGAUGCAACGCGAAGAACCUUACCAAGGCUUGACAUAUAGAGGAAAAGGCUGGAAACAGUCUCCCCGCAAGGUCUCUAUACAGGUGGUGCAUGGUUGUCGUCAGCUCGUGUCGUGAGAUGUUGGGUUAAGUCCCGCAACGAGCGCAACCCUCGUCCUAUGUUGCCAGCGGUUCGGCCGGGAACUCAUGGGAUACUGCCGGGGUCAACUCGGAGGAAGGUGGGGAUGACGUCAAAUCAUCAUGCCCCUUAUGUCUUGGGCUUCACGCAUGCUACAAUGGCCGGUACAAAGGGCUGCAAUACCGCAAGGUGGAGCGAAUCCCAAAAAGCCGGUCUCAGUUCGGAUUGAGGUCUGCAAC
rnacentral:rRNA from 1 species